rnacentral:rRNA from 1 species
CCAACAUUAGUGUGCGAUGGAAGGACGCUUAGGGCUAAGGGGGCUAGCGGAUGGAAGUGCUAGUCUAAGGUCGUAGGAGGUUAUACAGGCAAAUCCGUAUAACAAUACUCCGAGAACUGAAAGGCUUUUUGAAGUCUUCGGAUGGAUAGAAGAACCCCUGAUGCCGUCGAGCCAAGAAAAGUUUCUAAGUUUAGCUAAUGUUGCCCGUACCGUAAACCGACACAGGUGGGUGGGAUGAGUAUUCUAAGGCGCGUGGAAGAACUCUCUUUAAGGAACUCUGCAAAAUAGCACCGUAUCUUCGGUAUAAGGUGUGGUUAGCUUUGUAUUAGGAUUUACUCCGAAAGCAAGGAAACUUACAACAAAGAGUCCCUCCCGACUGUUUACCAAAAACACAGCACUCUGCUAACUCGUAAGAGGAUGUAUAGGGUGUGACGCCUGCCCGGUGCUCGAAGGUUAAUUGAUGGGGUUAGCAUUAGCGAAGCUCUUGAUCGAAGCCCGAGUAAACGGCGGCCGUAACUAUAACGGUCCUAAGGUAGCGAAAUUCCUUGUCGGUUAAAUACCGACCUGCAUGAAUGGCGUAACGAGAUGGGAGCUGUCUCAAAGAGGGAUCCAGUGAAAUUGUAGUGGAGGUGAAAAUUCCUCCUACCCGCGGCAAGACGGAAAGACCCCGUGGACCUUUACUACAGCUUGACACUGCUACUUGGAUAAGAAUGUGCAGGAUAGGUGGGAGGCUUUGAGUAUAUGACGCCAGUUGUAUAUGAGCCAUUGUUGAGAUACCACUCUUUCUUAUUUGGGUAGCUAACCAGCUUGAGUUAUCCUCAAGUGGGACAAUGUCUGGUGGGUAGUUUGACUGGGGCGGUCGCCUCCCAAAUAAUAACGGAGGCUUACAAAGGUUGGCUCAGAACGGUUGGAAAUCGUUCGUAGAGUAUAAAGGUAUAAGCCAGCUUAACUGCAAGACAUACAAGUCAAGCAGAGACGAAAGUCGGUCUUAGUGAUCCGGUGGUUCUGUGUGGAAGGGCCAUCGCUCAAAGGAUAAAAGGUACCCCGGGGAUAACAGGCUGAUCUCCCCCAAGAGCUCACAUCGACGGGGAGGUUUGGCACCUCGAUGUCGGCUCAUCGCAUCCUGGGGCUGGAGCAGGUCCCAAGGGUAUGGCUGUUCGCCAUUUAAAGCGGUACGCGAGCUGGGUUCAGAACGUCGUGAGACAGUUCGGUCCCUAUCUGCCGUGGGCGUAAGAAGAUUGAAGAGAUUUGACCCUAGUACGAGAGGACCGGGUUGAACAAACCACUGGUGUAGCUGUUGUUCUGCCAAGAGCAUCGCAGCGUAGCUAAGUUUGGAAAGGAUAAACGCUGAAAGCAUCUAAGCGUGAAGCCAACUCUAAGAUGAAUCUUCUCUAAGCUCUCUAGAAGACUACUAGUUUGAUAGGCUGGGUGUGUAAUGGAUGAAAGUCCUUUAGCUGACCAGUACUAAUAGAGCGUUUGGCUUAUCUUUAAUAAAGCAU